rnacentral:rRNA from 1 species
UCCGCGCUGCAUUAGCUAGUUGGUAAGGUAACGGCUUACCAAGGCAACGAUGCAUAGCCGACCUGAGAGGGUGAUCGGCCACACUGGAACUGAGACACGGUCCAGACUCCUACGGGAGGCAGCAGUAGGGAAUCUUCCGCAAUGGGCGAAAGCCUGACGGAGCAACGCCGCGUGAGUGAUGAAGGUCUUCGGAUCGUAAAACUCUGUUAUUAGGGAAGAACAUAUGUGUAAGUAACUGUGCACAUCUUGACGGUACCUAAUCAGAAAGCCACGGCUAACUACGUGCCAGCAGCCGCGGUAAUACGUAGGUGGCAAGCGUUAUCCGGAAUUAUUGGGCGUAAAGCGCGCGUAGGCGG